GGAAGAGCUCCGUGGAGGGAGGUGUCACGGUUGUUGUCGUUCCUGUGGCUCAGUGACACCACGCGAAGCUGACCGCCUCCUGGCUCCUGCGCGCACGGCUCCGCGGUGGGGACGGAGAGCGCCCUCCUCGGACGAAUUCAGCCAUGAAUCCAUCAGGACCUGGGAUUUUCUUUGUUGAAUGUUUUAUGGGAUAAUAUAUGGUGCAUUUUGGAGAAUGUCCCAUGUGCAGCUGAGAAGAAUGUGUAUUCUGAUGUGGCUGGGUGGAACACUCUGUAAACAUCUACUAAGUCCAAUUGCUCACAGGUAUGAUUUAGUUCUAUUAUUUCUUUGCUGUCUUUUUGUCUAGUCGAUCUAUGUCUUUGUGACAAUGGGGUGUUAAGGUCCCCUGUUAUAAUCAUGUUCUUGUGUAUUUGAUUUAUCAUGUCCAUUAGUAUUUGUCUUAUAUGGUUGGGUGGUCCUAUAUUUGGUGCAUAUAUAUUCUUUUUUUUUUUUAAUCUUCUUCUUUUUUAUCGGUACUGGGGAUUGAACUCAUGACUGCCUGCUUGCAAGGCAGGUGCUUAUGCUGCUGAGCUAAAUCCCCAGCCCCUAUAUAUUCAUUUUUCAACCUACUUUUUAUUCUUUUUUCUUUUUGGUCCUGGGGAUCAAACUCAUGAGCAUAUGCUUGCAAGACAGGCACUUAUGCAGCUGAGCUAAAUCCCCAGCCCUGGUGCAUAUAUAUCUAUAACUGUUAGUAGUUCCUCUUAAAUUUUUCCACCAAUGAGUAUGUAGUGACCUUCUUUAUCUCUUUUAAUCAUUUUAGGUUUGAAGUUCACAUUGUCUGCAAGUAGAUUUUUUUCUGGGUUCCAGUUGCAUGGAAAACUGUUCUCCAUCCUUUGACUUUUAACCUAUGCAUACUCCAGUUUUAUAGCAUUCCUACUAAUCCUAGUUAGAAGAUGAAACAAGUCUAACAUCCAUCAAUGGAUAAAUAAAUAACAAACAUGGUGUAUCUGUGCCAUGAGUAUCACUCAGUUCUAAGAAUGGACUCCGAAUACAUGCUACAACAUGGAUAGAUGUAGGGAGUGGCUUUGAAUAGCUGCUGCUGCCCUGCCCCUCCUGCCUGAGGGCAUUUUGUGUGUCAGCCUACAUUUCCCAUGAUCCUCAUGUCCACCUACAUUACCCAUAAUCCCCUCCUACUUACGUCAUAUAUCCGGAUGUGAUGGUGGCCUAUCAGAUAACACUCUGUGCCCUCUUCCUGCCUUUGGCCCGCCCCCCACCCUAUAUAAGUUGUAGCCAUUUUGAAAAUAAA